rnacentral:rRNA from 1 species
AUGGACCGGAUUUUGAGUGAGAUGAAUGAGCUUCGGAAGGAACUACUUCGUUUGCCAGAGUUAUGCGCACAGAGGAUGAUUAAGAAACUGAACAAAACCGGCGUCUUCUACAAACCCAGUAACCUGGAUGAAGACAAAGAGAAUCUGUACGGAGGCAUUAAUGAGUAUUCAAACGGUGGACGUCCGAAAAAAGAGUUUGUAUAUCAAAAAGAUGAUUCAGACCGGUUCCGCACACCUUCCAAAAUGAAUUUGCAAAAGGAUGAUGACGACGGUGAUGUAACUUCUCGUGGAAACACACCUUUUUACUGCACACCUGAGUACUGUGAUAGUUUCAAGGGAGUACAAGAGGAAGUGGAGGAGGUUACUGGCAGGAGCAAGCGCAAAGGGUCACAACAUGUCAAGUCUCCUUAUGUGUGUCCCUAA